CAGAAAAUAGCUGUAACCUCUGUUGUCAUCUCAUCCUACAUGUCUCAGUUAGGGUUUCAUCAAAUGACCAAAAUCUCAAAGAAAACAAUGCUGAUGAAUACAGGCCCCUAGCCUAACGAGUCUACACAACUCUUCCUCUCAUUUCACUAGGCGAUCCUUCUUUUUAUGUAAUGAAGACGAUAUAUAAUAGGAGUUCAUAAUUGGUGACAUCCCACCGCCCGUGGCAGUAGUGUAUAGAAGGAAUUCCAGGGGUCCACUAAUGGAAAAGAAUGGACCUGAUCCAUUUCUACUUGAAUGUUGGGAGAAGUUUCAUUCACACCACCGCAUUGGUCAAGCAAGACAUCUGACUAGGGGUACCGAGUACUGAAACC